GUGGGGAAUAUUGGACAAUGGGCGCAAGCCUGAUCCAGCCAUGCCGCGUGAGUGAUGAAGGCCCUAGGGUUGUAAAGCUCUUUCAGUGGGGACGAUAAUGACGGUACCCACAGAAGAAGCCCCGGCUAACUUCGUGCCAGCAGCCGCGGUAAUACGAAGGGGGCUAGCGUUGUUCGGAUUUACUGGGCGUAAAGCGCACGUAGGCGGAUCGUUAAGUCGAGGGUGAAAUCCUGGAGCUCAACUCCAGAACUGCCUUCGAUACUGGCGAUCUUGAGUCCGGAAGAGGUGAGUGGAACUCCUAGUGUAGAGGUGGAAUUCGUAGAUAUUAGGAAGAACACCAGUGGCGAAGGCGACUACCUGGACUGAUACUGACACUGAGGUGCGAAAGCGUGGGGAGCAAACAGGAUUAGAUACCCGGGUAGUCC
rnacentral:rRNA from 1 species